rnacentral:RNase_P_RNA from 1 species
CACGCAGACCGCCUUAUCGUCGUUUCGAUUUAUCGGAAGGGAGGAAAGUCCGGACACCAAAGAGAAGUAUAGCGGGUAACGCCCGUCACUCUGCCUCGUUUUUAGGAACGAGAUGGGGGAGGACAAGUGCAACAGAAAGUAUGUACAGGUUAAGCUGUAGUGAAACCAGGUAAACUCUAUGCGGUGAAAUUUCAAGUAUAUCAGCAUUUAAGGGUUUCUCGUCCGUUGCUGAAGGGUAGAAAGAUGGAUUCCAAGAGUAAUUUUGGAACUAGAUAAAUGAUAAGGGCUCCGAUUUAUCGGAGUACAGAAUCCGGCUUAUAGGUCUGCAUUUUUU